rnacentral:lncRNA from 1 species
UGGUAAUUCAGCUGUUGGGCUGUCUUGUAUGAGAUAGGCUUCUCCUUUAUUAGGCUCUUCCAGGCUUCCUUCUUGGACCGUGGCCUUAAAGCUUGGGUGCAAAGAGUCUUCUUGCUCAUGGAUACUAAGUAAGGCUUCAAUAGCUUGAUUAAAGUCCUCUCUCAAGACUCUAGUUCCGGAUCUUGUUAUUGGUCCUUGUCUCACGGCUGGUAUAGGGGGCGCUUGUGGUUCUAUGCUCUCAUCAGAUAUGAAUAGCCGACAUGAGAUUGGCGAUAAAUCUUGACACUAACCACCGAUUAGGACGAAUUCGGUCUUACUGGACAGAUUACUCCCGGGCCUUCAAUUUGAUAUUCUAUGCAUUGCGUGGCUCUUUACGGUUCGCCAAAAAAUUUUCUUGGAACUCGACGGCGGAUUAGAAGGAGAUGGUGACGAAAAAGAG